rnacentral:rRNA from 1 species
GGUGGGCACUCUAGAAUGACUGCCGGUGACAAACCGGAGGAAGGCGGGGAUGACGUCAAAUCAUCAUGCCCCUUAUGACUUGGGCUACACACGUACUACAAUGGCUGGUACAACGGGAAGCGAAGCCGCGAGGUGGAGCCAAUCCUAUAAAAGCCAGUCUCAGUUCGGAUUGCAGGCUGCAACUCGCCUGCAUGAAGUCGGAAUUGCUAGUAAUCGCGGAUCAGC